AGGAGCAACCAUAUUAGCACUAAUGCACGGGAUUCCAUCAGAACUCUGAACUUAAGCGUUCUUGGGCGAAAAUAGUUCUAAAAUGGGCUUGUCUUAUGACUAUCAUAGAUAUAGGAUAGUGGCUCGAC
rfam:Cephalotus follicularis DNA, scaffold: scaffold506, isolate: St1.